ACCCCAGCUACUCCCAUUUACUCUACGCGAACGCGGGAAACUCAUCGCGUUCGCGAUGAACACUGAACCUAACCCUUCACAAACGCGGGACCCACAUCGCGAAUGCGAAGGCUAAACUUCCUACCUCACACCACAUCCCUUCGUGAACGCGAAGGCCAAAUGUCUGCAACACCAACAACAGAUUUUCUGCAACUUCCCGCAACAAGAUUUGAUCCGUUCAACCACCUGAAACUCACCCGAGGCCCUCGGGACCUCAACCAAACAUGCCAACAUAUCCCAUAACAUCAUUCAAACUUGUUCCAACCUUCGGCCACCCAAAACAAUAUCAAAACACGAAAUCAUCAUCAGAUUCAAGCUUAAGAAUUCCAAAACCUUUCAAAUUCCGCUUUCGAUCAAAAAGUCUAUCAAACCUCGUCCGAAUGACCUGAAAUUUUGCACACACGUCACAAAUGACACAAUGAACCUACUCCAACUUCCGGAAUUCCAUUCUGACCCCUAUAUCAAAAUCUCCCCUAUCAACCGGAAAACGCCAAAAUUCCAAUUUCGCCAAUUCAAGCCUAAAUCUACUCCGGACCUCCAAAACACAUUCCAAUCACGCUCCUAAGUCCCAAAUCACCUCCCGAAGCUAUCCAAAGCAUUGGAAUUCACAUCCGAUCCCUUUUCACAUAAUUCAACAUCCCGU
rnacentral:lncRNA from 1 species